UGAGGAACAUGACCUUCGGCGGGGGAUAGCCGGCCCAACGGCCGGGUAAUACCGCGUACGACCACAUGGGGACAUCCCUGAGUGGUGAAAGCAGCAAUGCGCCGAUGGAGUGCCUCGCGGCCUAUCAGCUAGUUGGUGAGGUAACGGCUCACCAAGGCGACGACGGGUAGCUGGUCUGAGAGGACGACCAGCCACACUGGAACUGAGACACGGUCCAGACUCCGUAGGGAGG
rnacentral:rRNA from 1 species